AACGAACGCUGGCGGCAGGCCUAACACAUGCAAGUCGAGCGAGGACUUCGGUCCUAGCGGCGGACGGGUGAGUAACGCGUGGGAACGUGCCCUUUGCUUCGGAAUAGCCCUGGGAAACUGGGAGUAAUACCGGAUGAGCCCUUUUGGGGAAAGAUUUAUCGGCGAAGGAUCGGCCCGCGUUGGAUUAGGUAGUUGGUGGGGUAAUGGCCUACCAAGCCGACGAUCCAUAGCUGGUUUGAGAGGAUGAUCAGCCACACUGGGACUGAGACACGGCCCUGACUCCUACGGGAGGCAGCAGUGGGGAAUCUUAGACAAUGGGGGAAACCCUGAUCUAGCCAUGCCGCGUGAGCGAUGAAGGCCUUAGGGUUGUAAAGCUCUUUCAGCUGGGAAGAUAAUGACGGUACCAGCAGAAGAAGCCCCGGCUAACUCCGUG
rnacentral:rRNA from 1 species